UACGUAGGGGGCAAGCGUUGUCCGGAUUUAUUGGGCGUAAAGAGCGUGUAGGCGGUUAGGUAGGUCCGUUGUGAAAACUCGAGGCUCAACCUCGAGACGCCGAUGGAAACCAUCUGACUAGAGUCCGGAAGAGGAGAGUGGAAUUCCUGGUGUGAGCGGUGAAAUGCGCAGAUAUCAGGAAGAACACCCGUGGCUAAGGCGGCUCUCUAGUACGUGACUGACGCUGAGACGCGAAAGCGUGGGGGAGCGAACAGG
rnacentral:rRNA from 1 species